GCCUUUAAGACAGGGGCGUGACUAGGUACCUUGCUAAAUCAAGACCUAGGUGGGCUGCAUCUGCUCUUUGAAGACAGGGUUCUCCAAUAAGACUUGAAGUGCUCAUUUCAGGCUCAUCAGCAAUGAGCUAUCUUUGGUGAUAGCUGCUGUAAAUGUACUCUUGGGAAACUGAUUUAAGAAACUGAAGCUCUUCAAGGUAAAUGUUUUGUGGUGUUUCAUUCCAAACCUCCUAGAAUUCAUCAGAAUCCUAUUUAAAGAUAAAUUUCUACCCAGUUUACGAGCUGCUACCUUGAAAGCAAAUUUCAUCCUGCUGCAAGCAAAUAUGGUCUUAGAAUGAAACAAAACAGUUGCCAGAGAUCCAGCCUCUAGUGAAAAAUUCAUGUAAAGCUGUUUUAGAGGAGCUUUUUAGAGUACAGUAGGAAGAAUCAACACUUUGCAUCAUGAAACCCACAACAUUCAGCCAGUGAAGAAAAAAAAAAAAAAAAAGACAAUGAUUAACUCAAGCUUUGGACACUGACCAUUCCAUUUGAGUGGGGGAAAAAAAAAUUAGCCAUGAGGAUUGUUCCCCCUCUUCUCUUUCCCUUAAUUUGUAGUUUUACGAUGGAGGCUAUGGAAGGGCCAGCUAUCUGUUUUCUGGGUGGAUGAUGUUCUCUUACCUCUUCUAUUCCCCUACUUCUUUCUGAUGUAAUUAAUGGUGCUGAGCUGCCAUUCUUUUGGUCUGAAGUUAGUAAUUAACCAGAUCGUCUUCUUUAGGAAAUUUAGAAUUCUUAAUUUUUUCUAUUUUUGAGGGGAGUAAAAAUAUUUUGAUUGUAUGGUUUGUUUUUGUUUUGUUUGUUUUUUAACUUAAUGACAAUUUUACAUUCAAAUAUCUUUGAGCUUGCUGGGUGGAGUUUCAAGGCCACUUAUGGCAUCCUAUUGAUAUUGCUGGGGAGCUGGGAGUCCUGGAGUCAUGAGGAGUGAUGAAGGAUCCUGGAGCUUUGCAACCCACUGUCUUAGCCCUGAGGGGGCUUCUGCCUCUUCCUCCUGAUGGAAGGGCAAGAUAACUUUGUUCUGGGGUUUGGGGGUCUCCCAGACACCUUGUUACACAUCUCUUCCUAUAUCAGGGCUCCUAAACCCUGUGGUGCUUGAGAUCUGGGCAUGAAAAUAAUGGAAGCUUGUGGUUUCCAAUGCCAGAUCGUGGCACAUGCUGAGACAGCCCUGGAACCAGGCAAUGCUAAGCCCGUCAGCAUCUGUGAGGUGUUGCACCACAGGCUGCAAGAGAACCAACCAAGCUCCACCUGUACUUGAGUGAGACUUUGUUGGGAAACUUUCAACAAAUUAACUUCUUCCAUGACUCUGAGGAGUAGUCAGCGAAUUCUCUACCAGCUGUAGAUCAAAGGCCUCUGUGGGGUCCUAUGUACUUGCUCUUGACACCAAUUUGCUUCAUUUUCAUGUGAUGUCCCAGUGUCUGCAGUACUCUGUGGAAAAUAAGUGGUUUUAUGGGAAAAAAAUUAUCAACCUCACUGAAGUGACUGAGGCUGAAAAAGGUGCAAAUGAUUGAGUGCUUGCAAGGCCAGGGCUAUGUCAUUUUGAAAAGCUUCAUUCUCAUCAGACCCAGAUGGUGUGGCUAAUGCUUUCCAUUUUCCAGCCAAAGCAGGGGCUUAGACAGCAGCAAACUGUCUGUUAAAUCAUGUGGAUGGAGCAGCACACUGAACACUUGGCAGGUGUUCCUCUUUCUCUGUUGUGGAGUUUAGGCACAUAGUUUUCCAAGAAAAUCAUAGUUUGGGGUGGAAUAAGGCCUUUCUUUCCUUGGAGCUGCACAAGCACAACAGCUCAGAAGCCAAGAGAUUGCUAGUUGUGGUGCAAACAGAAGUGCUCAACUUCUUCUCUGGAUGCAGCCAAAACCAGAGUGACACUUACUUUGGAUAUUCUGCUGCAUUAUGGAAGUAGACAGAUAAGGAAGUUUAGACAAUAAGAUCCUUCAUCCUUAUGGUGAUUAUUGCUCCCCCUAUUCAUCACAAGGCCAAAGUGGUGCACAAGAUAGACCUCCUAAUCAAAUUAAUUACUCAGUAGAAUUGGAAUACAAAAUACCCACGCGCGCUUAAAUGAAGAGAACCAAAACAUAUCAUCAUACCAGAUGCUCUGAAGAAAAUAAUUACGUCCCAGCUGAAACUAACAUGAAACUGAAAAACUUAAAGAUAUCCAGAGAGUAAUUUAAGGCCAGAAAUAUAAGCAGUGUAAGUGACAAUUUGGACAUGUAUUAAAAAAUCAUAAAUAAAAGUUUAUAUUUGUUUCAUAUUUGUGUUCCAAUCUUAUUAAAAACUGUUAAAAAUAAUAGUAA